rnacentral:ncRNA from 1 species
CAAAGGUUUGGUCCUGGCCUUCCUAUUGAUUAUUAACAGAAUUACACAUGCAAGUCUCUACAUCCCGGUGAAAAUGCCCUCUAAAUCUACUUAUCGAUUAAAAGGAGCGGGUAUCAAGCACACUAAUUAGUAGCUCAUAACGCCUUGCUCGACCACACCCCCACGGGAUACAGCAGUGAUAAAAAUUAAGCCAUGAACGAAAGUUUGACUAAGCCAUGUUAACACAGAGAGCUGGUAAAUUUCGUGCCAGCCACCGCGGUCAUACGAUUAGCCCGAACCAAUAGGCAAACGGCGUAAAACGUGUUAAGGACUAUAUUAUACUAAAGUUAAAAUUUAGCAAGGCCGUAAAAAGCUACUGCUAAUACAAGAUAAACCACGAAAGUGACUUUAUUACCUCCAACGACACGAUAGCUGAGACCCAAACUGGGAUUAGAUACCCCACUAUGCUCAGCCCUAAACAUAAAUAAUUCUCACAACAAAAUUAUUUGCCAGAGAACUACUAGCAAUAGCUUAAAACUCAAAGGACUUGGCGGUGCUUUACAUCCCUCUAGAGGAGCCUGUUCUAUAAUCGAUAAACCCCGAUAAACCUCACCACUUCUAGCUAAAUCAGUCUAUAUACCGCCAUCUUCAGCAAACCCUUAAAAGGAAGAAAAGUAAGCACAAUAAUAAUACAUAAAAAAGUUAGGUCAAGGUGUAACCCAUGAAGUGGGAAGAAAUGGGCUACAUUUUCUAAUCAAGAACACACUCACGAAAGUUUUUAUGAAAAUUAAAAACUCAAGGCGGAUUUAGUAGUAAAUUAAGAAUAGAGAGCUUAAUUGAAUAGGGCCAUGAAGCACGCACACACCGCCCGUCACCCUCCUCAAGCAAUACACCCAAACACUACAUAAUAAAACUCACUCAAAGCAAGAGGAGACAAGUCGUAACAAGGUAAGCAUACUGGAAAGUGUGCUUGGGUAAAU